rnacentral:rRNA from 1 species
CCCUUAGACGUUCUGGGCCGCACGCGCGCUACACUGACGGAGCCAGCGAGCUUUUCCUUAACCGAGAGGUUUGGGUAAUCUUGUGAAACUCCGUCGUGCUGGGGAUAGAGCAUUGUAAUUAUUGCUCUUCAACGAGGAAUUCCUAGUAAGCGCAAGUCAUCAGCUUGCGUUGAUUACGUCCCUGCCCUUUGUACACACCGCCCGUCGCUAGUACCGAUUGAAUGGCUUAGUGAGGCUUCAGGAUUUGCUUAGAUCGAGGGGCAACUCUCUUUCAGAGCGGAGAAUCUAGUCAAACUUGGUCAUUUAGAGGAACUAAAAGUCGUAACA